rnacentral:rRNA from 1 species
UACGUAGGGUGCGAGCGUUGUCCGGAAUUAUUGGGCGUAAAGAGCUUGUAGGCGGUUUGUCGCGUCUGCUGUGAAAUCUCAAGGCUCAACCUUGAGCUUGCAGUGGGUACGGGCAGACUAGAGUGUGGUAGGGGGAGACUGGAAUUCCUGGUGUAGCGGUGAAAUGCGCAGAUAUCAGGAGGAACACCGAUGGCGAAGGCAGGUCCCUGGGCCGAAAUUGACGCUGAGGAGCGAAAGCGUGGGGAGCGAACAGG